CAGCCGCCACGGUAAUACGAAGGGUGCAAGCGUUACUCGGUAUUACUGGGCGUAAAGCGUGCGUAGGUGGUGGUUUAAGUCCGUUGUGAAAGCCCUGGGCUCAACCUGGGAAUUGCAGUGGAUACUGGGUCACUAGAGUGUGGUAGAGGAUAGUGGAAUUUCCGGUGUAGCAGUGAAAUGCGUAGAGAUCGGAAGGAACAUCUGUGGCGAAGGCGACUAUCUGGGUUAACACUGACACUGAGGCACGAAAGCGUGGGGAGCAAACAGGAUUAGAUACCCCCGUAGUCCCUGUCUCUUAUAC
rnacentral:rRNA from 1 species